CAUACGCACGCCGUGGUUGUUCUAGAAUGCAGACGCCGAAGGAGAACAGUGGCCAGAUUUGUCCUUCUCCCAAUACCGGAGGGUUGGUGUUAGGUAAUCGCAUCAGGUGCCCACGGUAAGCAGAGGAAAAGGUUGAAAUCCCACUAUAUCAAGUGUUCGUUUCAGGCUGCAGCAUACGCAGAAACAGAGCGAGGAGAAGGGAGCGAAAGAGGUUUCCAUGGGUGUAGAAAGGUUUCGGUUUGCGGUCGUGCUCAUGUUCUUGGUUUCCUUCCAUGUCCAUGUCUCCAGAAGCACAGAGGCCAGACCACUUCUCAUCGCCAAGGAGAACAGGUAUGUCCAGGUGUUGCAGUCACUUGGAAUCACAUGCCGCUGCUGCGAUGGCGUGGGAGGUGAAUGCCGGAGGAGUUGGGCGUACCCCUGUGCUAAGCUGGAGUGCCACCCUUGCAAGUUCUCGUGAGUUUUGCCUGGGAGCGAGUUCCGUUAUGUAUGUGUAGGAGCUGGUAGUCUUGUAAAUUGUUUCGAGGACUCAAAAUAUAGCAUUGCAAAUACUUCUUUUA